CCCUUAGAUGUUCUGGGCCGCACGCGCGCUACACUGAAGGAAUCAGCGUGGCUUUCUCCCUGACCCGAAAGGGUUGGGAAACCCGUUGAAUCUCCUUCGUGAUAGGGAUUGGGGCUUGAAAUUGUUCCCCAUGAACGAGGAAUUCCCAGUAAGCGCGAGUCAUAAGCUCGCGUUGAUUACGUCCCUGCCCUUUGUACACACCGCCCGUCGCUCCUACCGAUUGAAUGUUCCGGUGAGCUCUUCGGACUGCGCGGUCUGCAGUUUCUGCGUUCCGUGCGGAAAGUUGCGCAAACCUUAACAUUUAGAGGAAGGAGAAGUCGUAACA
rnacentral:rRNA from 1 species